AGGCUACAAGUGAGAAAUUCAGAAAAAUACGGACAAAGCAACUACCCCACAUUUGUAGUCGCAAAGGUUAUGCAAGAUUGAUUGAUGAAUUGAUGAACCAUAGUGAAACCAAAACACCACCUUCUAGAGUUGAUGUUUGGACCAAAGCACAUAAGAAGAAAAAUGGCGAACCAGUAAAUUCAGAAGUGGCUGAAGCUUUUGAUUUGGUUGAAGAAUAUAAGAAAGAUCCUGCUAUGUCUUCAACUACAAGUGUUAAUGAAGACAUCCUCACAAAAGUCCUUGGUCCUGAAAAAAAUACAUACAUGAGAGCUUUCGGAAGAGGAGUUACUCGGUCAAAGUUGCAAAUUGUGUCAGAAAGAGAUGACCAUCUGAUGAAGAUAGAAGGUUAAUGCAAAGAUUUGAAAGACAAAAUGCAACACAUGGAGCAACUCAUUGUUUCUUUAAUGAAAAAUCAAAAUACAUCUACUCAGAGUGAGGAGCAAUCAAAUGUCAAUGUUCAAUCAAAUUCUCAUGUUCAUUCCACUCAGGUAAUUAUGAUACUAAUUAUAUGAAAAUGAUAAAAUCUAA